rnacentral:rRNA from 1 species
AUUGAACGCUGGCGGCAGGCCUAACACAUGCAAGUCGAACGAGUGGUGGACGGGUGAGUAAUGUAUGGGAAACUGCCUGAUGGAGGGGGAUAACUACUGGAAACGGUAGAUAAUACCGCAUACCAUCAGAUGUGCCCAGAUGGGAGUAGCUAGUUGGUGGGGUAACGGCUCACCAAGGCGACGAUCCAUAGCUGGUCUGAGAGGAUGACCACCCACACUGGAACUGUGACACGCUCGUGACUCCUCAGGGAGGCAGCAGUGGGGAAUAUUGCCAAGUGGGCGCAAGCCUGCUGCGGCCAUGCCGCGUGUAUGAAGAAGGCCUUCGGGUUGUAAAGUACUUUCAGCGGGGAGGCGUUACCCGCAGAAGAAGCACCGGCUAACUCCGUGCCAGCCGCCGCGGUAAUUC